GAUGAACGCUGGCGGCGUGCCUAAUACAUGCAAGUCGAGCGAACAGACGAGGAGCUUGCUCCUCUGACGUUAGCGGCGGACGGGUGAGUAACACGUGGAUAACCUACCUAUAAGACUGGGAUAACUUCGGGAAACCGGAGCUAAUACCGGAUAAUAUAUUGAACCGCAUGGUUCAAUAGUGAAAGACGGUUUUGCUGUCACUUAUAGAUGGAUCCGCGCCGCAUUAGCUAGUUGGUAAGGUAACGGCUUACCAAGGCAACGAUGCGUAGCCGACCUGAGGGGGUGAUCGGCCACACUGGAACUUAGACACGGUCCAGACUCCUACGGGAGGCAGCAGUAGGGAAUCUUCCGCAAUGGUCGAAAGCCUGACGGAGCAACGCCGCGUGAGUGAUGAAGGUCUUCGGAUCGUAAAACUCUGUUAUUAGGGAAGAACAAAUGUGUAAGUAACUAUGCACGUCUUGACGGUACCUAAUCAGAAAGCCACGGCUAACUACGUG
rnacentral:rRNA from 1 species